rnacentral:rRNA from 1 species
UAGGGAAUCUUCGGCAAUGGACGAAAGUCUGACCGAGCAACGCCGCGUGAGUGAAGAAGGUUUUCGGAUCGUAAAACUCUGUUGUUAGAGAAGAACAAGGACGUUAGUAACUGAACGUCCUCUGACGGUAUCUAACCAGAAAGCCACGGCUAACUACGUUCCAGCAGCCGCGGUAAUACGUAGGUGGCAAGCGUUGUCCGGAUUAAUUGGGCGUAAAGCGAGCGCAGGCGGUUUCUUAAGUCUGAUGUGAAAGCCCCCGGCUCAACCGAGGUGGGUCAUUGGAAACUGGGAGGCUUGAGUGCAGAAGCAGAGCAUGGAGUUGCAUAUGUAACGAUGACAUGCGUAGAUGUAUGGAGAAACACCAGUGGCGAAAGCGGCUCUCUGGUCAGUAACUAACACUGAGGCUCGAAAGCGUGGGGAGCAAACAGG